GGCUUCGUAGCUCUGGUGGUUAGAGCGUUGGCUUUAAUAAUUGGCUGUCUCCUUGCUGUCGUGGGUUCAAAUCCCACCGGGGCCA
rnacentral:tRNA from 1 species